rnacentral:lncRNA from 1 species
GCUAGCUCCCUUGCAGAGAUAACUUUGAUGGCUGAUCUCCUCCUUUAUAAUCAACCCUUGAUUGUGCUUAGGAGGAGGAGGAAGAAGGAGCAACCAAGGAAGAAGAUCACCUGGCUUUUCAGCCUUUAUCUUUUCCCUGCGUUGGAAGAAGGAAGAAGGGUGGAGGAAGAAGGCCGCCAAGUCCUUCUUUUGUUCUUCCUUGCUU